rnacentral:tRNA from 1 species
AGUGGUAUAGCUCAGUGGAGAGUGCUUGCCUCACAUGCAUGAGGCCCUGGGAUCAAUUCUCAGCACAACAU